rnacentral:rRNA from 1 species
UGAGGAAUAUUGGUCAAUGGGCGCGAGCCUGAACCAGCCAAGUCGCGUGAGGGAUGACGGUCCUACGGAUUGUAAACCUCUUUAGGCGGGGAGUAAUGUGCUCUACGUGUAGAGUAGUGAGAGUACCCGCAGAAUAAGCAUCGGCUAACUCCGUGCCAGCAGCCGCGGUAAUACGGAGGAUGCGAGCGUUAUCCGGAUUUAUUGGGUUUAAAGGGUGCGCAGGCUGUGCAUCAAGUCAGCGGUAAAAUCUCGGGGCUCAACCCCGUUUAGCCGUUGAAACUGGUGUGCUGGAGUGUGCGCGAGGAAGGCGGAAUGCGCGGUGUAGCGGUGAAAUGCAUAGAUAUUGCGCAGAACUCCGAUUGCGAAGGCAGCCUUCCAGUGCAUGACUGACGCUGAGGCACGAAAGCGUGGGUAUCGAACAGG